GACUCUCGACAACGGAUAUCUCGGCUCUCGCAUCGAUGAAAAACGUAGCAAAAUGCGAUACCUGGUGUGAAUUGCAGAAUCCCGCGAACCAUCGAGUUUUUGAACGCAAGUUGCGCCCGAGGCCUUCCGGCCGAGGGCACGUCUGCCUGGGCGUCA
rnacentral:rRNA from 1 species